rnacentral:rRNA from 1 species
ACGCUGGCGGCAGGCCUAACACAUGCAAGUCGAGCGGUAGAGAGAAGCUUGCUUCUCUUGAGAGCGGCGGACGGGUGAGUAAUGCCUAGGAAUCUGCCUGGUAGUGGGGGAUAACGUUCGGAAACGGACGCUAAUACCGCAUACGUCCUACGGGAGAAAGCAGGGGACCUUCGGGCCUUGCGCUAUCGGAUGAGCCUAGGUCGGAUUAGCUAGUUGGUGGGGUAAUGGCUCACCAAGGCGACGAUCCGUAACUGGUCUGAGAGGAUGAUCAGUCACACUGGAACUGAGACACGGUCCAGACUCCUACGGGAGGCAGCAGUGGGGAAUAUUGGACAAUGGGCGAAAGCCUGAUCCAGCCAUGCCGCGUGUGUGAAGAAGGUCUUCGGAUUGUAAAGCACUUUAAGUUGGGAGGAAGGGCAGUAAAUUAAUACUUUGCUGUUUUGACGUUACCGACAGAAUAAGCACCGGCUAACUCUGUGCCAGCAGCCGCGGUAAUACAGAGGGUGCAAGCGUUAAUCGGAAUUACUGGGCGUAAAGCGCGCGUAGGUGGUUCGUUAAGUUGGAUGUGAAAUCCCCGGGCUCAACCUGGGAACUGCAUUCAAAACUGACGAGCUAGAGUAUGGUAGAGGGUGGUGGAAUUUCCUGUGUAGCGGUGAAAUGCGUAGAUAUAGGAAGGAACACCAGUGGCGAAGGCGACCACCUGGACUGAUACUGACACUGAGGUGCGAAAGCGUGGGGAGCAAAC